rnacentral:misc_RNA from 1 species
AUUAAUUUAGUAUGUCAUAUUGUGAUUACUGUACCUUGUUAGGAUACAAGUGUUUGAAGUCAAAAUCCAAGUUUGAGACUUUUAAAGGUUGUCCUAACCUUUUAGUAUUUUUCUUUUACAUUAAAUGCAUACUUUGUAUUCAUUUUUUCUUAUGAGAUAUUUAUAUUGGCUUGUCUAGUUGGCAUAUAAAUGAUUUAUUGUAUUAACA